UACGGAGGGUGCAAGCGUUGCUCGGAAUUAUUGGGCGUAAAGGGUAGGUAGGUGGUCUCAUUUGUCUGGGGUGAAAGCCUUGAGCUUAACUCAAGAAGUGCCCCAGAAACGGUGAGACUAGAGUCUUGGAGAGGGUCGUGGAAUUCCCGGUGUAGCGGUGAAAUGCGUAGAGAUCGGGAGGAACACCAGAGGCGAAAGCGGCGACCUGGACAAGCACUGACACUCAACUACGAAAGCGUGGGGAGCAAACAGG
rnacentral:rRNA from 1 species